AUGCCCUCUCUCUUGUCUCUACUCUGUAUUUUGCUUAGCCUUUUCUCCUUCGACACAUCGGCAUUAGCUGCAUCACAAGCAAACAUGUCAGAGAUCGAUCGCCAAGCCCUACUCUGCUUCAAGUCUGGCAUCAGCUUCAAUCCCUUUGGCAUCCUACACUCAUGGAGCAAUGGUUCGCUCAACUUUUGUAGCUGGAAAGGGGUCACCUGCGGCAAAAAAAUUCCACCACGGGUGGUCUCUUUGGACCUCACAUCUGCUCGUCUCGGUGGGCGGUUAUCUAGAUGUGUCGGUAACUUGACUUUUCUAUCCUUGAUGAACCUUGCCGAUAAUUAUCUGUCGGGAACCAUCCCCGGAGAAUUGGGUAAGCUUCCAAACCUCCAUACACUGAAUCUUGCUGGCAGCAACCUGGAAGGUAACAUCCCUAAAUCACUAGGCACUAGCAAUUCACUUAGCUAUGUCAAUCUUGCAAACAACAGCCUUACCGGUGGCAUCCCUGUCUCACUGGCCAAUAGCGUCUCACUCAGUACACUUAUACUGUCACGUAAUAACCUCUCUGGAGAGAUCCCUUCUGUUUUGUUUGAUAAUUCAUCUAAGCUUACCGUGGUUGAUCUCCAGAAAAAUUCUUUCACUGGUCCCAUCCCACAUUUCCAUACGGUCGCAACUCUCAAAUUUCUUUGCCUGACAGAGAACUUCCUCUCCGGAAGCAUACCUCCAUCAUUAGGAAAUGUUUCUUCCCUCAGUUCUAUAUUCCUCGGCCAAAAUAGGUUAUCUGGAUUAAUUCCAGAGACUUUGAGUCACAUUACAAAACUACUUGAGCUUGAUCUAAGUUUCAACAGUUUAUCAGGGAGUGUCCCGUCGUCUAUUUACAACAUGACAUCACUAAGGUACUUUAGCGUAGGCAGCAAUACACUUGUUGGACAAAUACCAUCUCACAUUGGUUACUCACUAUCAAACCUCCAGUUGCUUAUCCUGGGAAGCAACAGACUGAAGGGCCUGAUCCCUGCUUCACUUGCCAACAUGUUAAAUCUUCAAAUACUUGAUCUUUCAAACAACUCGUUACAUGGCUCUGUUCCAUCUCUUGGUUCGUUGGCAAACUUGCAUGAGUUGGAUUUAGGGAGUAACUUGCUAGAAGCACAUGACUGGUCAUUUCUUACAUAUCUAGCAAAUUGCACCCAGCUCACAAAGCUGUCCUUGAAAGGGAAUGUUCUAAAUGGCAGCCUACCUAUAUCAAUUGUUAAUCUUUCCAGGAGGUUAGAAUAUUUAUCGCUUGGGUCAAACCAAAUUUCAGGCUCCAUACCUGUAGAGAUUGGCAAUCUUGUUAAUCUCUUUUCGCUUGGGAUGGAAAGCAAUUUUCUUUCUGGAAGCAUACCUUCUUCCAUCGGCAAGCUACGAAACCUCUAUAUCCUAAAUCUGUCAAAGAACAAAUUAUCAGGUCAGAUUCCUCCCUCAAUUGGUGAUGUUACUCAACUUGCUAAACUUUACCUUGAUGGUAACAACUUGAGUGGAAAUAUACCUGGUAGUUUAGCCCAGUGCAUGGGGCUUUUUGAACUAAACUUGUCUCAAAACAAUCUUGAUGGCUCGAUACCAGUCAGACUUUUUGCUGACCUUCUAUUCGCCUGGAGUCUGGACUUCUCACACAACAAUCUCACAGGGGAACUACCACCGGUACUUGGUACAUAUGGCAUUGGUAGUGGUCUAGUGUCCCUUCACAUGGAAGGAAACAGGUUUCAUGGACAAAUUCCAGAAAGAUGGCAUCUAUUAGUAUCAACCCGGCAGAUUAAUCUUUCUCACAAUGGCUUAUCCGGUGUCGUGCCCAAAUUCUUUGAGCAACUUGAUAAGCUGGAGCAACUUGAUCUCUCUUACAACAACUUGGAAGGGGCUGUUCCUGCAAGUGGUAUCUUCACGCAUUCUUCUGCAGUAGUUUUGGAUGGCAACAAGGGACUCUGCUCAAAUUCCCCCAGGCUAGCGUUACCAAUUUGUCCUGGCAUCUCAGGUUCAGCAACUAAAGUGAAGCAUCAUCUGUCAUUGCUGGUGACCUCGCUGCUAAUUGUACUACCGCCACUUACUAUUGGUUCCCUAGUCUUGAUAUGGUUUAUGCUCACUAUUUGGAAGAAAGGGUCGUUUCCAUUUUCACGAUGGGAUCUUGUGUCCAAGAUGUUUCCUAAUAGAAGAGAAGUGCAUACAGCCCCGUGCCAUGACGAGAAGAAGCUGAAGAGAGUGUCAUACAAGGACAUUCUUAAAGCUACCAACUGGUUUUCUUUGGUCCAUACUAUCAGCUCAACUUGUACUGGUUCAGUUUAUGUUGGUAGGUUCAAGUCCGACAAGAGCCUAGUUGCCAUCAAAGUAUUCAACUUGAACGAACCUGGUGGAUACGAGAGUUACCUUAUUGAGUGUGAAGUGCUCCGAAGCACCCGCCAUAGAAAUAUAAUGCGACCUGUGACCCUAUGCUCAACAUUGGAUUCAGAAAACCAUGAGUUCAAAGCACUAAUCUUCGAGGUCAUGGUUAAUGGAAGCCUGGAGGCAUGGUUGCAUUCUGAGCAGCACAAUGGAAUUCUAGACAAAGUGCUAAGCUUUGGCCAGAGGAUAUGCAUAGCAGCAGAUGUGGCUUCUGCUCUUGAUUAUGCCCACAAUGAACUGACGCCUCCUUUGAUCCAUUGUGAUUUGAAGCCAAACAAUGUCCUUUUGGAUGAUGACAUGACUGCGCGGCUCAGUGACUUUGGCUCAGCAAAGUUUCUAUCACUAGGUCUAGUAAUUCCUAAAAGCCUGCAUGAUGUUGGAGGGACAAUUGGAUACGUGGCACCUGAGUACAGAAUGGGCUGCGAGAUCUCCGUAGGCGGUGAUGUGUAUAGUUUCGGAGUGCUUCUACUGGAAUUGCUUACUGGAAAACGACCUACUGAUGAUAUGUUUGUGGAUGGACUUAGCCUUUGUAAGUUCUGUGAAUCUAAGUUCCCAGACAGAGUUGCAGAGAUUCUUGAUCCUCAUAUGGCGCAUGAGGAGCAUCAAGGGUGCACAGAAGGAUGGAUUCAGAGAUAUAUUGUCCCCUUGGUUGCCCUUGGGCUGUCAUGUACGGUGGAAUCUCCGAAGGAUAGGCCCGGAAUGAAAGAUGUUUGUGCAAAACUUUCUGAUAUUAGAGCCUCUUUUCUUUAG
rnacentral:rRNA from 1 species